rnacentral:rRNA from 1 species
UUAAAUUGAAGAGUUUGAUCAUGGCUCAGAUUGAACGCUGGCGGCAGGCUUAACACAUGCAAGUCGAGCGGUAGCACAGAGAGCUUGCUCUCGGGUGACGAGCGGCGGACGGGUGAGUAA